CUUUAAUGGAUAUAUAGUGAUCGUGCUCUGCGUUUAAUGUUAGUUAGUGGAUCUCUGGUUUUUACGGAUCGUGCAAAAUGCGAAGAAAUUAUUCGUCCUGCUUGGAGAGAGAGAGAGAGUCUAUGUGUACGGUGGAUCUCUGGAUCGUGCAUUAUGGGAGGAAAUUCUUCGACCUGCUUAGAGAGAGAGAGAGAGAGAGAGAGAGAGAGAGAGAGUUUAGUGGAUCUGUGUAUGUGCUCAAUGCCGAUCCUGCAUUUUAUGAAGAAGAAUUUUUGCAUUUCUAGUUACUCUACAGUUAGUUUCGAGGAUACUGAGGCAGUGAUUUGAGUUUAUUGUGGUGAUUUGGUGUCGAUUUGUAUUUCUUGAGCUGAUAUUUGCUUCACUUUCUGUAACUUGCAUUUCUAGUUACUUGACUGUUAAUUCGAGGAAAUUCGACUCCAGUAUUUGCAUUUC